UGGUCUGAGAGGAUGACCAGCCACACUGGGACUGAGACAGGGCCCAUACUCCUACGGGAGGCAGCAGUGGGGAAUCUUGCGCAAUGGGCGAAAGCCUGACGCAGCCAUGCCGCGUGAAUGAUGAAGGUCUUAGGAUUGUAAAAUUCUUUCACCGGGGACGAUAAUGACGGUACCCGGAGAAGAAGCCCCGGCUAACUUCGUGCCAGCAGCCGCGGUAA
rnacentral:rRNA from 1 species